UAUUUUAGGUAGUAAAGUGAAUUGUUCACUUCAUGAAAAUGCAGUGGCCUGAGUUCAGAGUAAAUCUCCCAGAGGUUGGUGAUGUCAACAUCAAUGCAGCUUUCUUUAGGAAAUUUGACUAUAGUAAUUCAAUGGUCAGGUUGAUUGGAUCAGUUCCUGUUAUCACGUGGGCCCCAAUAUUAGAAAGUGGGGCCAUAUGAAGCUUCGGAAUGUUCUUGAGGAAUGCAUGUUUGAUAAACAAUUUUGCAAGUCCCCUCUAAUUUAUCAGUUUUCUUCCUUGGGGUCACUUGAUGAGAAACGGAUGAGUG